GAUGAACGCUGGCGGCGUGCCUAAUACAUGCAAGUCGAGCGAACAGACGAGGAGCUUGCUCCUCUGACGUUAGCGGCGGACGGGUGAGUAACACGUGGAUAACCUACCUAUAAGACUGGGAUAACUUCGGGAAACCGGAGCUAAUACCGGAUAAUAUAUUGAACCGCAUGGUUCAAUAGUGAAAGACGGUUUUGCUGUCACUUAUAGAUGGAUCCGCGCCGCAUUAGCUAGUUGGUAAGGUAACGGCUUACCAAGGCGACGAUGCGUAGCCGACGUGAGAGGGUGAUCGGCCACCCGGGAGCUGGGACGCGGUCCAGACUCCUACGGGAGGCAGCAGUAGGGAAUCUUACGCAAUGGGCGAAAGCCUGACGGAGCAGCGCCGCGUGAGUGAUGAAGGUCUUCGGAUCGUAAAACUCUGUUAUUAGGGAAGAACAAAUGUGUAAGUAACUAUGCACGUCUUGACGGUACCUAAUCAGAAAGCCACGGCUAACUACGUG
rnacentral:rRNA from 1 species